ensembl:lncRNA
CGGAAAAAGUCGGUAACUCACAGCGCUGGGACAAGGUGAAGGCAAGGCCACGGAGCAGCGGAUCAAUAUUUCAUUUACUCGCCCCUUGCUUCCACACCCGGACUUGUAUCAAAUUCUUCACAGCCGGUCGUGGAAGGAGGGAGAGAGGCUGUGCGCGAGAGAAAGACAAGAUGUAGAAGGAGAAAAGAAACAAGGUUCACGAAAACAGCGACACAAGGCCUCUAAUUUCUCUGGGGUGCUGGCUGAGGCAGUGUGUGAGCGCAAGGUCAUUCAUUACGCACCACUGUCAAAUGGAAACACACAGACCCAUUAGAACUGCGUUGCACUCUCAUGGCUGGGUUGCGGCUGGAAGGGCAUCCGGCGUAAAACGUGCCAAAUCGGUUUUGCGGAUCACUCUGCUGUGGAGACCCCUGAUGAAGGGAGCAAGCCGAAGGAAAAAGACAGACUGUAUUUUUGAUCAAAUAAAUGCGGCCUUGGAUAGAUGAGAGAGACAGAAAACUGGAAGGAGAUGGAGGCCAGCCUUGAACCAUAAUGGCUCUUCAUUGGUUCAAAUGUACAAGUGACAGUGCUGCUGUUUUGGCUCUCUUGGAUGAAUGGGGAUGGGUGGUAAGCGGCAGGCGAUGGAUGGGUUGGAGAACAGAACAAGAACAGAGAUUUGCAGUGCAUUGCAAAACAGCAAAGAGCAGCAGCAGUGACACGGGGGUUAUAAAUAGAUCUCCAUAUAUAGAGCCAGAGGCUACCUGGCUGGCGGAGGCCGAGCACUCGCUACAGUAAUCACACAUGAUUUAUACCUGGUCCGGUGUGGUGCUGCGAUUCUGCACCUGAGUUCUGCCACACGUGGUGUCAAUUAUGUGAUUAAAGAUCAGACGGUGGCUGUGUUUACAUAGACGGCAGUAAUAUGACCACAGACGAUAUUUUGGAUCAGAAAAUUGCUGUAAUAAGGCAUGUGGAACAUUUUUGGAAUUGUGUCAUAUUAUUUAAGACACGUAGGCAUUUUAAUCGGGCUAUAACUCUCUGGUUUGUGAGCGACUGGCAGCAUAUGGCAGUCACUUCACGGCACAUGCUUUACAUUCCUUAUAUGCAGUCCAUAUCAGACCAGAGCAUGAGCGUAAAUGGGGAAUCUGAAUGAAACAG